rnacentral:tRNA from 1 species
AGGAUUAUAGUUUAAAUAAAAAACAUUUGAUUUGCAAUCAAAAAAUAUUAAUUUUAAUUUAUCUUA